AGUCACUGACAUUAGAUACCCGGGUAGUCCAGGGUGUAAACGCUGCAGACUUGGUGUUGGAGGCCCUUUGGGGGCAUUCAGUGCCGGAGAGAAGUUGUUAAGUCUGCUACUUGGGGAGUACGUCCGCAAGGAUGAAACUUAAAGGAAUUGGCGGGGGAGCACCGCAACGGGAGGAGCGUGCGGUUUAAUUGGAUUCAACACCGUAAAACUCACCAGGGAAGACUGUUACAUGAAGGCCGAGAUGAAGACUCUGCCAGAUUUUCAG
rnacentral:rRNA from 1 species